rnacentral:rRNA from 1 species
CUCCGGUGAUCCGNNCCGGACCCGACUGCUAUCAGAGUGGGACUAAGCCAUGCGAGUCAACGUAGCAAUACGUGGCAUACGGCUCAGUAACACGUAGUCAACAUGCCCAGGGGACGAGGAUAACCUCGGGAAACUGAGGAUAAACCUCGAUAGGCCAUGAUUUCUGGAAUGAUUCUUGGCUCAAACCUAUAUGGCCCCUGGAUUGGACUGCGGCCGAUCAGGCUGUUGGUGAGGUAAUGGCCCACCAAACCUAUUACCGGUACGGGCUCUGAGAGGAGGAGCCCGGAGAUGGGCACUGAGACAAGGGCCCAGGCCCUAUGGGGCGCAGCAGGCGCGAAACCUCUGCAAUAGGCGAAAGCUUGACAGGGUUACUCUGAGUGAUUUCCGCUAAGGGAAUCUUUUGGCACCUCUAAAAAUGGUGCAGAAUAAGGGGUGGGCAAGUCUGGUGUCAGCCGCCGCGGUAAUACCAGCACCCCGAGUGGUCGGGACGAUUAUUGGGCCUAAAGCAUCCGUAGCCGGUCCUGCAAGUCUUCCGUUAAAUCCAGCUGCUCAACAGAUGGGCUGCGGGAGAUACUACAGGGCUAGGAGGCGGGAGAGGCAAGCGGUACUUUAUGGGUAGGGGUAAAAUCCGCUGAUCCAUAGAAGACCACCAGUGGCGAAGGCGGCUUGCCAGAACGCGCUCGACGGUGAGGGAUGAAAGCUGGGGGAGCAAACCGGAUUAGAUACCCGGGUAGUCCCAGCUGUAAACGAUGCAGACUCGGUGAUGGGUUGGCCUCGCGCCUGCCCAGUGCCGCAGGGAAGCCGUUAAGUCUGCCGCCUGGGGAGUACGGUCGCAAGACUGAAACUUAAAGGAAUUGGCGGGGGAGCA